rnacentral:rRNA from 1 species
AUACGUAGGGUGCGAGCGUUGUCCGGAAUUACUGGGCGUAAAGAGCUCGUAGGUGGUUUGUCGCGUCGUCUGUGAAAUUCCGGGGCUUAACUCCGGGCGUGCAGGCGAUACGGGCAUAACUUGAGUACUGUAGGGGAGACUGGAAUUCCUGGUGUAGCGGUGAAAUGCGCAGAUAUCAGGAGGAACACCGGUGGCGAAGGCGGGUCUAUGGGCAGUAACUGACGCUGAGGAGCGAAAGCAUGGGUAGCGAACAGGAUUAGAUACCCUGGUAGUCCAUGCCGUAAACGGUGGGCGCUAGGUGUAGGGGUCUUCCACGACUUCUGUGCCGUAGCUAACGCAUUAAGCGCCCCGCCUGGGGAGUACGGCCGCAAGGCUAAAACUCAAAGGAAUUGACGGGG